AUUGAACGCUGGCGGCAGGCCUAACACAUGCAAGUCGAGCGGAUGAAGGGAGCUUGCUCCUGGAUUCAGCGGCGGACGGGUGAGUAAUGCCUAGGAAUCUGCCUGGUAGUGGGGGAUAACGUCCGGAAACGGGCGCUAAUACCGCAUACGUCCUGAGGGAGAAAGAGGGGGAUCGUCGGACCUCACGCUAUCAGAUGAGCCUAGGUCGGAUUAGCUAGUUGGUGGGUUUAAGGGCUACCAGGUCGACUAUCGGUAUAUGGUCUGAGAGGCUGAUCAGUCACAUGGGAACUGGGCCACCGUCAAGAGUACUGAGGGACGCCGCAGUCGCGAAUGGUGGACAAUGGGGGAAAGUCUGAUCCAGUGGUGCCGAGCGUGUGGCGAAGGUGCCCCGAGUGGAAAGCAGGCCAUGGUGUUGUGAAGCGCAGUAAGCUAAUACGUUGCUUGAUUGACGUUACUGACAGAAUAAGCACCGGCUAACUUCGUG
rnacentral:rRNA from 1 species